UCUCUGUGAUGAUCAAGAACGAUGACGAGUCCGAUUUUAUAUCCAUUCCAUUCAUCGUGACGACAAAUCGAGGCAUUUGUCUGAGAGAA